rnacentral:rRNA from 1 species
UGGGGAAUAUUGGACAAUGGGGGCAACCCUGAUCCAGCCAUGCCGCGUGGGUGAAGAAGGCCUUCGGGUUGUAAAGCCCUUUUGUACGGGAAGAAAAGCUUGGGGUUAAUAACCUUGAGUCAUGACGGUACCGUAAGAAUAAGCACCGGCUAACUUCGUGCCAGCAGCCGCGGUAAUACGAAGGGUGCAAGCGUUACUCGGAAUUACUGGGCGUAAAGCGUGCGUAGGCGGUGAGUUAAGUCUGAUGUGAAAUCCCCGGGCUCAACCUGGGAAUGGCAUUGGAUACUGGCUCGCUAGAGUACGGUAGAGGGUGGUGGAAUUCCCGGUGUAGCAGUGAAAUGCGUAGAGAUCGGGAGGAACAUCUGUGGCGAAGGCGGCCACCUGGACCAGUACUGACGCUGAGGCACGAAAGCGUGGGGAGCAAACA